ensembl:lncRNA
CUCUGAUUUAUCACUUCUGUGUAAGGGCUCCUAGAGUUUUGUGGAAGGGGAAGUUCCUGAUGCCCGCUGUCCAAGACUUUCUAGACCAAGUGAGAAGAUUUUCUUGUUCAGACUGGUGAAGAGCUCUGAAAGUCAUCAUCACCAUGCCAUCUGGCAAGCUGUACAUUUAUAUACUGAAAGGCCACACUGUCAAAUCUCCCAGAAACCUUCUCUUCUCCAGGCUGCACAGCCUCAGCUCCCUCAGCCUGUCCUUGAAGGAGAAGUGUUCCAUCCUUCCAUCCCUUGGAUCAUUUUUGCAUCCCUCCUCUGGAUGGACUCCAACAGAUCCACGUCUCUCCUACACUGAGGACUCCACAUCUGGAUGCAGUACUCCAGAAACAUGUCUUAUGAGAAAGAAAAAAACCACAACACUGCAGAGCAUCCAAAUCUCCUUUAAAGAUGCAGUGAUUUCCAUCAAAAGCUGUUAAGAAGAUUUGGAAAGAAAACGAUGGAACUUGCAUUUUAAUCUCACAAGCUGGCAAUAGGUUUUAAACAGCAUUGUAUGGUUGGACUGUAAGUGAUAAAAUACAGGUUGAAUUUCUUUGGAAGGCCAUUCAUGAAAAAACAACACUCUUCUAGUGUAGUCUACCAAAGAAAUCCCCUUGGAAUCCCUUGCUCUAAAUGUUCUUCCUCAUUUCUGGAUGGCUCUCAAAGUCUUUUACACCUGCAAAAAUACACUGUCGACAUUUUCUUACUUUGAAUACAGAAAAAUGUUCAGUGCAAGAGGAUGGAGAAUUAAGGCCUCCAUCUUACUGUAGUGAAAAGAAACCUAGCUUCACACUGAUCCAGAUUUUGACCUUGGAUAGGUAUCGUUAGAUCUUUUGGUUUAAUUAAAACUUAGCUCUAUGUUUCUCCACUUUGAAUGCUUUCACUGUAGUGUUCUUAAACUCUGAGUUUUAUGUAGUUGUGAGUAGGGAUUUUGAAGGCUAUUAACUCAUUGAAGUGCAAAAGUUCAUAACCUCUUACAGCAAUACACUUUUUUAUGAUUGUCAGACAGUUAGAGCUGUACAUAGCAAGCAGACUUGAAUAUGACUUUGAAGAAUUUGAGGAGAAUGCUUCAUACUCAGGGAUAAUUCUGAAGUGCAGUUAUGCCUGCCUUGUGUUGCUAUUUUUCUUGCUUCUGACUUUCAUAGAUUCACCACUUCAAUUGCUCUUGAUUAAUAGGAAAGUCAGGAAAAAUAUUAUUUUAAUAUCAUUUGCAGAGUGUACCUGACCAGCACAGGUUGUUUGAAGGAAUAGCCAGGCACUAUGCGAGAGAGAGUAAAGAAGAUAUGCCACCAUGACAGAAUGUGCAGUUGCUCCUUAAGUAAUGCCUCCUAUUUAUUUCCAUGGAAACUUCUAAGAACAGGUACAAAGUGCAGGAUAAAACUACUUGAAUAGAGCAAAUUCUCAGCUACAAAACACCAUUUUUCAACACAGUAACCACCAUUAGGUGUGCAUUUUUGCCAGUGAUGAACAAGAAUCUGCAUGCCAUGCACCAGCAGAGGUGACCAUUGUUGCCACUCUGCUGAAAUGCACCACCUACUGCCUCACUGCACUUACAUUCACUGUUUGGUCUCCAGAAAUGUCCAGCAGGCAUUGAUGAAUGUCAGUGGGAGCCAUUUUUUUUCUGCAUGAAAUAGUUAACUGACACAUCUUUCCUUCAUCUGCACUUCCAUGGCAGAUGCCAUUCUGCCAGACUUGCCUCUCUGCUGCCGUCAGUCACACAGCAGCAAAAAGUAUUGGAAUGUUGGUGGGAAGGUCCAACAUAUACUGCCAUGUCACCAACAUCUGUCUCUGAUAUUGUGGGCCACCAUCAUAACAUAGGAGGCAUUACUUUCAGAGCAGCCCUUGUGCAUCACAACACAAUACCAUGAGAACAUUUUUCACUUCUCAAAGUGGAAAGUCUGGCAAAUGCUCACAUUUGCAUAUGUGUGUGUGUAAUUUCAGAUAUAACAACUGAUCUUUCAUACAGUUCUAUACAAAUUUGCAGGGUUUUUUUCAACAUAGCAACAUCUUCUGCUACGUGGAUGACCAUGAAUAAAUGUUGUAGCAGAAUUUCAAAUAACAAGCUUGUGAACCAAUGUAAUUCCAGGGAUGCUGCUUUGAAAACAGUUGAAUUUCUCCCAGUAUUCAGCAGUAUAGCUGAGAACAGAACUUCACACUUUCUUGGUUUUGCUAGGAAAUAUAAAAUGUCAAGUAGCAAUUCAAAAAAUAUCUAAUUCUGUAGGAACCUAGGCUUUCUGCAGAUAGCUCUUUUGUUUCCUGUGAUUUUUUACCAGGUUUUAGCCAGAGCUGCUGAAGACUACAGAAAAACAGAAGGGAACACGGAUCUGAGUUACUGCCCUUUUAAUAAGAGAUCAAGCUUCUUUAAAGCCACUCUAAUUUGUGAGCAGAGAUCAAACACUUUGCUUAAGAUAAUGAGUGUAGUAAAUUUGGGAAAAAUGCUUUGAUUGCUCAGCAGUGCAUGGCUUUCUUUUUCUAAAAGAAAUGAUGUCUCAGAGAUACUACGUAAGGAUCUUGAUUAACUAUUUAGCUUCUGCAUCUGAAAGUCAAAAUGAUUUACAAGUAGUUUUGAUUUUUGGGCCAGCUAAAGUGAUCAUUGUGUGUAAUUGCCAUGUUUUACAUUUGACUUUCUGAUUAACGUUUACUAAAGAGUGUGUGUAUGUGAAUAUAUAUAUUCAUUUAACUUCCAAGCACGUUUUCAAAAUCAAGCUAGGUUGUUUUGUUCCGUGUUUUUUUUUGGGGGGG